rnacentral:lncRNA from 10 species
AAUUUAUAAAACAGCCAUUUCUUUAUUCUUAUAUUGAAUAACACUAUGUGAGAGAGUAGAUAUAGUCACUGUAAUAACCACCAUGAUUACAGAGAUGAGCUUUAACAUCAUUCCAGCUGUUUGCAGCCAGAGCCACGUGAUACAAAAACAUCUGUGACUGCUCUCAGGCCAAGGUGACAGGUCCUGCAGUGGUUUGUUGCCUGCAUUCAUCAAGGAAGGAAAUACUAAAUUUCGCCUGGAGGUUAGUGAAAACAAUGAUGUAACUUUUUUUCUCAUCAAAGUUCUCUGACCUUCUGACUUCUACCCAUGGAAUCAUGGGAGCCCAGCAUGUCCAGGUGAAAAUUCUUGCCUUGGAAAAAACCUCCGAGGCCCAGCUUGCUGCCUCGUGUGGCUCUGCACAUUUCUGAGUGGAUGACAACGGUCUCAUUGUCCCAGGAGCUGUUAUUUCUUCUGCAUACGGGUGGUUGCUGAGGGAGGUCAGGGUGCCUGCUGGUGGCAAGAUGAUGUUAUCCAGUGUUACGGCUUGAACUAUGUCCCUCAAAAAAAACAUGAAAGUCCUAGUCCCCGUACUUUAUGUGACUUAUUUGGAACUAGAGUCAUUGCAGGUAUAAUGAGUUACAAUGAGGUCACAGUGAAGUAGGGCAUGCUCCUGAUCCAGUGCGACUGGUGUCCUUGUAAGAAGACGGCCGUGUGGCUGGGCACAGUGGCUCACACCUGUAAUCCCAGCACUUUGGGAGGCCGAGGCAGGCGGAUCACGAGGUCAGGAGAUCAAGGCCAUCCUGGCCAACACAGUGAAACCCCAUCUCUACUAAAAAUACAAAAAAUCAGCCGGGCGUGGUGGUGGGCGCCUGUAGUCCCAGCUACUUGGGAGGCUGAGGCAGGAGAAUGGCGUGAACCCAGGAAGCAGAGCUUGCAGUAAGCCAAGAUCACGCCACUGCACUCCAGCCUGGGUGACAGAGCUAGAUUCUGUCUCAAAAAAAAAAAAAAAAAAAAGAAGAUGGCCGUGUGAAGGCAGAGAGGCACCCAGGGGGCCUGGAGUUAGUAGCAAGAAAUGCCAACGUGGCUGCAAAACACAGCAAGCUAAGAAUAGAUGAGUAAGGAUUCCCCACGGGUUUCAGAGGGAGCUGGCCCUGCUAACACCCCAGUUUUGGACUUCCAGCCUCCAGAACUGUGAGACAAUAAAUUUCUGUUGUCUUAAGCCACCCAGUUUGUGGGACUUUGUGGAGGCAGCCCUAUCACACCAAUAUAGCUGGUAUCUGCCAACUGGACCCUCCUGGGGACUGGGAUUCUGGAAAACCAGGGCUGGGGUGGGCGUGGUGUCUGCGCCGCUGUCAGGAACAUGCCAGGACCCAGGGACUGUUUGGUUAGAGGGUUGGGCUAGGUCUUCAGUGAAGAUCCUGGCCUGGCUGCAGUGUUACCUCGGGGGUUAGGAACCCUAGCUCAUGGUCAACAUAACCUGGAGAAAACCCGCACAAGAAACUUUAGCAUGCGGAGAAGCAGCCUCUUUAUUCCCACAUGACAAAAAACGGUCUUUAUCAUUAAUGACAUGCAACCGUCAACCACUCAGGAUGCAGGCGGCAGUUAAAA